AGGGCUGUUUGAAAAAAAUAUAAUUUUCUAUUUUAAAAUUGAAUUUAAUUCAGUGGCGGGCACAAUAACUGUUGAGGCGCCCUCGUACACGUGCACCGAUCGGACGCGCGUGUAGUUUUUUGACCGGUACGUCAGCCGUUGCGUGACAACGGCAGUUUUCCGCUGGCUCUCGAAGCGGUCGGACGUGUGUCUGUGCGUGUGCGUCUGUUUGUUAAAUUAUUAAAUAAAUUAUUAAACCGCGACCGCGACCGCGACGUGAAUUAAUUAAAGUGAUUCUGUGCUGUGUUGUGCUGUGAAAUUUUAAGGAUAUUUUGUACAAGGGACCUUUUAACCGGUCGUACUGUUGCUCGCCCAACACGAAUGCAAAGAUUGCAUUAAACAGUCGUCAAAUGUGCUAACCAUUGCAAUCUCCGCUUGGAGUUAAGAAUUUUGAGAGCUCAAAAGCUGGGAUUGCUUUACGGACUGGUUGCGACCGGCCAGCGGGAUUCGGAAGACUUCAAAGACGUUCUUCGUCUGGUUCUUCAGAAAUUAUUUUUUUUAACUUACAAUAAUUAUUAUUGAACGUUGUUAUAAAUUUGUGUGAUUGAUUAUGUUUUAUGAAUAAACGCUAGAGAAAUG